CCUACGGGAGGCAGCAGUGGGGAAUAUUGGGCAAUGGGCGCAAGCCUGACCCAGCAACGCCGCGUGAAGGAAGAAGGCUUUCGGGUUGUAAACUUCUGUUGUCAGGGACGAAGCAAGUGACGGUACCUGACGAAUAAGCCACGGCUAACUACGUGCCAGCAGCCGAGGUAAUACGUAGGUGGCAAGCGUUAUCCGGAUUUACUGGGUGUAAAGGGCGUGUAGGCGGGGCAGCAAGUCAGAUGUGAAAACCACGGGCUCAACCUGUGGCCUGCAUUUGAAACUGUUUUUCUUGAGUGCUGGGGAGGCAAUCGGAAUUCCGUGGGUAGCGGUGAAAUGCGUAGAUAUACGGAGGAACACCAGUGGCGAAGGCGGAUUGCUGGACAGUAACUGACGCUGAGGCGCGAAAGCGUGGGGAGCAAACAGGAUUAGAUACCCGUGUAGUC
rnacentral:rRNA from 1 species